rnacentral:lncRNA from 1 species
CUCAGCUCAACAGUUCAGUGACUAUAGCUCUGAGCUGGACGUGAGCUCCUUGGAGCUGGAAGAAUCAGCCUUGUAUCUCUGUGCCAGCAGCUCAGGCACAGCCCUGCGGAGUUCCCGGCUCCCUGUACUCAAACCUUCCUGUCCCAGCUAAGAAUCAGGCAUCGAGAAGUGCAGUCCCAGAAAUAGGGAAGCCUCACACUGAGAUAUGACCUACAGAUGGAACAGCAGUGUGCACAGAAAUCACAGUAGCUUGGGCUUCAGUGGUCCACUCGUCCAUGGCCUCACCUGAAACAGAGGGAAGAAUCUUGCCCAUGAGAACAUAGAGGCCUGAGUGCAGAUGACAGGGCUCCCAUGAGUCGGUGAAUUCUGAGACAAUAUCAAACCAUUCUUCAAAUUCCAGUGACCCUGACCUUGAGACUGAAAAAUUUCUAGACAUUAAGUGGGUUUUAAAAUGAGAAGAUCACUGUAAGCUGACAUUCAAUUAUCUACAGUUUAGGCAAAAAUAAAAGCUAAGAAAAGGUAUUUGGAGGCAAAUUUUGAGCAGAGAAGUCACAAAAG